rnacentral:lncRNA from 1 species
AUAUACCAUUGGCGGAUUCGUGCAGCCUGUCGGCGGCCAGGCCGUCAGUAUGGACCUGUUAGAAAAAUACUGUUUUUUGUAGUGAAACUAAGUAGUCUUUCUCGCAUUUUAAAUAACUAGGUAGCAUGAUCGAUUAAUUAAGAUCACAAUAAAGAAGACAAGGAUCAAAAUAUGUGCGAUCAAGAUGAGGAAAGUGGAGGAGAUGACGAAGGGUGAGAUGAAAAUGGCGAUGUAGGGAUGUUGGAGAGAGAUCUAGUCGGAAGUCAUGAUGGAGGAAAAGGUGAAGGUUGAAGGUGAUUGGUAACUGGUAAGUGGCACAUGUAUGUUAACAUUUACUUUUGCAAUUUGAAUUAUUACGACGACACCUGCGUCUACAUCGAUGUCUAAAUAUUGUACAAUGCCGCUUGCAUAUUCUAUAAUCCUUGUGGCAUCUUUCGAUCGAUGCAAUCAUAAUAAGGAGGAGGUGAAUGUGGUGGGUGGGGUAGUGAAGGGUGGAGGAGGCGAUGGAGGAGGAGGCGCUCGAAGGUGGGGUAGGCGAUGCAAGUCUUUUGUUUUGCUUUUAAUCAUAUCAACAAUGCUAAUGUAAUGAAAGAAACAAAAAAUUUGUCAAGUUGUAAUCACUUCUUAUUCUUUUAUCAACAUUGAAGUAAUUCCACAACAACUCAAACAUCACACAUACAUAAACAAGAUAGAUUAAAACAAGAUAUAAAAUGACGAUCGAUCAUCUAGACAUUAAUUUGUGUAAAAUUCAGCAACAUAGACAAACUAGCAGGGUAUGUAGUCUUUCUCGCAUUUUAAAUAACUAGCAUGAUCGAUUUACACCACAAUAAAGAAGACAUGCAUGCAUGCAUGCGACCAAGGAGGUGAAAGUGGAAGAGAUGAAGGAGGAUGAGGUGAAAAUGGAUGUGACUAAGGGGAGAUGCUAAGAAGAUGGUGGAGAUCGAGUGAUCAUUGAGGCAGAAGUGAUGGAGGGGAUCAAAGGUGAAGGUGGAUGGUAAUUGGGAAGUGAUACGUAAAAGUUUUUUAACAUUUGUUUUUACAACGGAAAAACUGACGACGACACCAGCGUAAACAUCUACGAUUACUGAAACAAAGACGCUUGCAUAUGUUAUGAAUCUUUUUGCAAGCUUUGAGGCAAUCAUGUUUAUUUGGAGGAGGUGGUGAUGAAUGGGGAGGUGGUGGGGGAGGAGAUGGUGGGGGAGGAGGCAGUUUAAAUAUGGAAUAACACUUCAAAAUACAUUGUAAAGUAAUCCCUCCACAAUUUACUAAGCAUUUUGUGAAGUCACAUUGGCAUGCAUCGUAGAGGUUAUUAUCUUGAGCACUUUCGACACUUGAUAUAAUUGAAAACGAUAGAACUAAGACGAUUACAACAAACAAUGUUUUC